rnacentral:pre_miRNA from 1 species
UCUUAUGGAUAAGCUAAGAAAGUUGUUUCUUGAGAUGGAAUCUACUUCUGUCAAAGAUGCUGUGAA